ensembl:lncRNA
AAUGGGGCCCCAAAGGUCAGGGGAGGAAAAGCCCCAAAGGUCAGGGGAGGAAAAGCCCCAAAGGUCAGAGGAGGAAAAGUCCCAAAGCUCAGGGGAGGAAAAGCCCCAAAGGUCAGGAGAAGAAAAGCCCCAAAGGUCAGGAGAGGAAAAGCCCCAAAGGUCAGGGGAAGAAAACAAGAGUUAGAGCCUCACUCUGUCCCACCAUAUUCUAUCUGAAGGUUACUACUUCCUCCUUGCUGUGAGGCUUCCUCUGGACAUACAGCUGUGAUGUUCCUUGCAGCUCGUACCCCUGUCUGCUUCUAAUGGGCACUCACUAUGCCAUCUGCAUCCUCUGGUACGCCCAUUACAGCUCUGUUUUCAGACAAUAUAGUCUCCAGAUUACUACCUCAGAUUACUACAGAGACAGUACACAGCACAGCUUCCCAACAGGUUUACAGAGACAGCACAGGUUUCCAACAGGUUUACAGAGGCAGCACAGGUUUCCAACAGGUUUACAGAGGCAGCACAGGUUUCCAACAGGUUUACAGAGACAGCACAGGUUUCCAACAGGUUUACAGAGACAGCACAGGUUUCCAAGCAGCCAUCUCUAUGAGAGGGCAUGACAUGAGGAAAGUAAUACCCUACCACAUUAAUUAGAGACUGGGGGUGAGGGCUGCUUCCUAAAUUAUUGUCACGACUUCCGCCGAAGUUGGUCCCUCUCCUUGUUCGGGCGGCAUUCGGCGGUCGACGUCACCGGCUUUCUUGUCGCUACCGAUCCAUGUUUCAUUUUCGUCUGGUUUUGUCUUCAUUAUACACACCUGAUUUCUAUUACAUUAAUUAUGUUCCUUAUUUAACCCUCUGGCUUCCCUCUCUGUUUUGUGUGUUAUUGUUGUCAUGUGGGUUCGUGGUCUUGUGCUUUGGAUUUUUGUGUUUUCCAUGUUGGAAUAUUAUUCUUCAUUUUUGAGUAAACUGUCAGACUAUACUCAUCUCUGUGUCCCGCGCCUGACUCUAKCUUUCACCAUUCACCAACACCCUCACAAUUAUACCCUUUUCCCUAUUUAGUGCACUACUUUUGACCAAAGCCCUAUCUUUGAACAGAGCCCUAGGGGCCCUGGAUGGUCGAAAGUGAUGUACUAUAUAGGGAAUAGGAUGCCAUUUGGGACUCAGGCAAGGUCAAUGCUGCCGGUCAUCAGGCUUGUAUCAGAGGAAGAGGAACGUGUCAUUAAUUAACCAGUAAGGGGAUUAGACACGGUUUCAGCAGAGCCCCAUUUGUUUCCUCCAUUAUGAUAUCAAGACUCGGUUCCCCAAUGUCUACAAAUGGCUGAACUUGGCUUGGAGAUACAAGCACACAAAUACACUACCCUCCAGUGGUGGAAAAAGUCCCCAACUGUCAUACUUGAGUAAAAGUAAAGAUGCCUUAAUAGAAAAUGACUGAAGCAAAAGUGAAAGUCACCCAGUAAAAUAGUACUUGAGUAAAAGUCAAAAAGUUUUCGGAUUUAAAUAUACUCAGAAGUGAAUGUAAUUUCUAAAAUGUACUUUAGUAUCAAAAGUAAAAGUAUAAAUCACUUAAAAUUCCUUAUAUAAAGCAAACCAGAUGGCACCCUUUUCUAGUUUUUUAAAAUUAAUUCAAGGAUAGCAAGGAGGCACACUUCAUCACUCAGGCAUAAUUUACAAAUGAAGCGUGUGUGUUUAGUGAGUCUGCCAGAUCAGAGGCAGRAGGGAUGACCAGAGAUGCUCUCUUGAUACGUAUGUGAAUUGAACCAUUUUACUGUCUUGCUAAGUAUUCAAAAUGUAACGACUACUUUUGGGAGUAAAGGAAAAAGUCAAAAGUAAAUCAUUUUCAUUAAGAAUGUAGUGAAGUAAAAGUACAAGUUGUCAAAAAUAUAAAUGGUAAAGUAAAAUACAGAUACACAAAAAAACGACUUAAGUAGUACUUUAAAGUAUUU